UACAGAGGUCCCGAGCGUUGUUCGGAUUCACUGGGCGUAAAGGGUGCGUAGGUGGUGAGGUAAGUCGGAUGUGAAAGCACGGAGCUCAACUCCGAAAUGGCAUUGGAAACUACCUUGCUAGAGGGUUGGAGGGGGGACUGGAAUGCUUGGUGUAGCAGUGAAAUGCGUAGAUAUCAAGCGGAACACCAGUGGCGAAGGCGAGUCCCUGGACAACUCCUGACACUGAGGCACGAAAGCUAGGGGAGCAAACAGG
rnacentral:rRNA from 1 species